AGAGUUUGAUCAUGGCUCAGAUUGAACGCUGGCGGCAGGCCUAACACAUGCAAGUCGAGCGGUAGCACAGAGAGCUUGCUCUCGGGUGACGAGCGGCGGACGGGUGAGUAAUGUCUGGGAAACUGCCUGAUGGAGGGGGAUAACUACUGGAAACGGUAGCUAAUACCGCAUAACGUCGCAAGACCAAAGUGGGGGACCUUCGGGCCUCAUGCCAUCAGAUGUGCCCAGAUGGGAUUAGCUAGUAGGUGGGGUAACGGCUCACCUAGGCGACGAUCCCUAGCUGGUCUGAGAGGAUGACCAGCCACACUGGAACUGAGACACGGUCCAGACUCCUACGGGAGGCAGCAGUGGGGAAUAUUGCACAAUGGGCGCAAGCCUGAUGCAGCCAUGCCGCGUGUGUGAAGAAGGCCUUCGGGUUGUAAAGCACUUUCAGCGGGGAGGAAGGCGUUAAGGUUAAUAACCUUGGCGAUUGACGUUACCCGCAGAAGAAGCACCGGCUAACUCCGUGCCAGCAGCCGCGGUAAUACGGAGGGUGCAAGCGUUAAUCGGAAUUACUGGGCGUAAAGCGCACGCAGGCGGUCUGUCAAGUCGGAUGUGAAAUCCCCGGGCUCAACCUGGGAACUGCAUUCGAAACUGGCAGGCUAGAGUCUUGUAGAGGGGGGUAGAAUUCCAGGUGUAGCGGUGAAAUGCGUAGAGAUCUGGAGGAAUACCGGUGGCGAAGGCGGCCCCCUGGACAAAGACUGACGCUCAGGUGCGAAAGCGUGGGGAGCAAACAGGAUUAGAUACCCUGGUAGUCCACGCCGUAAACGAUGUCGAUUUGGAGGUUGUGCCCUUGAGGCGUGGCUUCCGGAGCUAACGCGUUAAAUCGACCGCCUGGGGAGUACGGCCGCAAGGUUAAAACUCAAAUGAAUUGACGGGGGCCCGCACAAGCGGUGGAGCAUGUGGUUUAAUUCGAUGCAACGCGAAGAACCUUACCUGGUCUUGACAUCCACAGAACUUUCCAGAGAUGGAUUGGUGCCUUCGGGAACUGUGAGACAGGUGCUGCAUGGCUGUCGUCAGCUCGUGUUGUGAAAUGUUGGGUUAAGUCCCGCAACGAGCGCAACCCUUAUCCUUUGUUGCCAGCGGUCCGGCCGGGAACUCAAAGGAGACUGCCAGUGAUAAACUGGAGGAAGGUGGGGAUGACGUCAAGUCAUCAUGGCCCUUACGACCAGGGCUACACACGUGCUACAAUGGCAUAUACAAAGAGAAGCGACCUCGCGAGAGCAAGCGGACCUCAUAAAGUAUGUCGUAGUCCGGAUUGGAGUCUGCAACUCGACUCCAUGAAGUCGGAAUCGC
rnacentral:rRNA from 1 species